CCGACAACACAGUGAUUGAGGAGCACUUGGGGCAGUUUGGUGUCAUUUGCCUGGAAGACCUCAUCCAUGAAAUUGCCUUCCCUGGGAAGCAUUUCCAGCAGAUCUCUUCAUUCUUGUGCCCUUUCCACCUCUCUGUGGCCCGUCAUGCUACCAAGAAUAGAGUGGGCUUCCUCAAGGAGAUGGGCUCGCCUGGCUACCGGGGUGACCGCAUCAACCAGCUCAUCCGGCAGCUCAACUAGAGCAGGAGCAGGUGAGACCGGCGUGUGCCACAGUACAGCCAGUGCUCCUGUUGCCAAAGACUUUGAGAGGGGCUACGGACGGGGUGUGUGGGAGCGGAGGAACAGACUGCUCACAGUCAGUGCUGGGUCGGAGCUGUGGCCUUGCUCUACUCUAGACACCUUUUUCUUUGUUCCGUCUUCUCCUAAGAUCCCCAGGUGGCUCUGUUCUCUGCUUGAGACUGACUGGAUAGCUCAUCUCUUGCAGAUGAUAAGGACAACUCUAUUUUACAUAUCAGUCCAGAUGUUGACUCCAGGUUUCCAGAGUCAGCACCCAUAACCCCAGCUCCUUAAUUUUCAGGAGACAGCAAAUGGCUUUUUUUUUUUACUUUGCAAAAGAGUUCAGAGGUCUGCCCACCUCUGUUAAGCACAUACAAUAAGCCAGCUGGUGGGAUCCCAUCACCAUCUCAACCACUGCUGGGCCCAACCUUGCUCUGUCUCCAGCUGACCCUGGACUUAGGAACCUGUCAGCUUUUGUCAUCGUAAACAGUGGCAACAACAAAACCUUAGCUGGGUGGGGUCUGUGACCAUCACUCCCUACAUUUGUCCCCUUCUUUACUGUCUUUCUCACAAGUUGGCUUACAGUAGAGCUGCUUUUGUACCCUUAGGUUUGAUAGGCCCCUCCUGUAAUUCAUACUGCAUCUUUACUUCUUG
rnacentral:lncRNA from 1 species